AUACAUGCAAGUCGAGGGGUAACAGGAAGUGCUUGCACUUCGCUGACGACCGGCGCACGGGUGAGUAUCGCGUAUACAAUCUGCCUCAUACUAGGGAAUAGCCCGAAGAAAUUUGGAUUAAUGCCCUAUAGUAUCUUUUUAAGGCAUCUUAUUAAGAUUAAAGGUUACGGUAUGAGAUGAGUAUGCGUUCUAUUAGCUAGUAGGUGUGGUAACGGCACACCUAGGCUACGAUAGAUAGGGGCCCUGAGAGGGGGAUCCCCCACACUGGUACUGAGACACGGACCAGACUCCUACGGGAGGCAGCAGUAAGGAAUAUUGGUCAAUGGACG
rnacentral:rRNA from 1 species